rnacentral:rRNA from 1 species
AGCAGCCGCGGUAAUUCCAGCUCCAAUAGCGUAUAUUAAAGUUGUUGCAGUUAAAAAGCUCGUAGUUGAAUUUCGGGAUUGGCGCAUCGGUCGUGCCUUACGGGGUAUGAACUGGUGCAGUCAAUUUCUCACCUUCUGGAGAACCGCGAUGUCCUUAAUUGGGUGCCGCGGGGAACCAGGACCUUUACUUUGAAAAAAUUAGAGUGUUUAAAGCAGGCAUUUUUGCUUGAAUACAUUAGCAUGGAAUAAUAAAAUAGGACGGCAUGGUUCUAUUUUGUUGGUUUCUAGGACCACCGUAAUGAUUAAUAGGGAUAGUUGGGG